rnacentral:rRNA from 1 species
AGUGAACGCUGGCGGUAGGCCUGACACAUGCAAGUCGAACGGCAGCACAGUAAGAGCUUGCUCUUACGGGUGGCGAGUGGCGGACGGGUGAGGAAUACAUCGGAAUCUACUUUUUCGUGGGGGAUAACGUAGGGAAACUUACGCUAAUACCGCAUACGACCUACGGGUGAAAGCAGGGGGUCUUCGGACCUUGCGCGAUUGAAUGAGCCGAUGUCGGAUUAGCUAGUUGGCGGGGUAAAGGCCCACCAAGGCGACGAUCCGUAGCUGGUCUGAGAGGAUGAUCAGCCACACUGGAACUGAGACACGGUCCAGACUCCUACGGGAGGCAGCAGUGGGGAAUAUUGGACAAUGGGCGCAAGCCUGAUCCAGCCAUACCGCGUGGGUGAAGAAGGCCCUCGGGUUGUAAAGCCCUUUUGUUGGGAAAGAAAAGCAGCAGGUUAAUACCCCGCUGUUCUGACGGUACCCAAAGAAUAAGCACCGGCUAACUUCGUG